rnacentral:lncRNA from 1 species
GUCCCUCAUCUCUGCACUGAUAUGUUGCAAGCCAGAAAAGAUCGCCGACAACCAUACACUCUAAGUACAAAGAUCAAGCUAAUAAAGCCAACAAAUCAAAACAAAAAUACAAUCUCGAAAGAGAAACAAUUAGAAAGGUAGAGAAGAAAGUAAAGAAACCAAACAAAUACCCAUCUAACUAUUAACAAACUCUACAAGAUCAAAAUCAUCAAUUAAAAGCCAAAAAAAAUAAAUAAAUAUCAUGGUAUUUUCACCUCGAGUAGCCAUAAAACCAUAAUAAGAA